rnacentral:rRNA from 1 species
AUUGAACGCUGGCGGCAGGCUUAACACAUGCAAGUCGAGCGCGCGGCGGACGGGUGAGUACUGUCUGGGAAACUGCCUGAUGGAGGGGGAUAACUACUGGAAACGGUAGCUAAUACCGCAUACCAUCAGAUGUGCCCAGAUGGGAUUAGCGAGUAGGGGGGGUAAUGGCUCACCUAGGCGACGAUCCCUAGCUGGUCUGAGAGGAUGACCAGCCACGCUGGAACUGAGCCACGGUCCGAAAUCCUACGGGAGGUAGCAGUGGGGAAUAUUGCACAAUGGGCGCAGGCCUGAUGCAGCCAUGCCGCGUAUGUGAAGAAGGCCUUCGGGUUGUAAAGCACUUUCAGCGAGGAGGCGUUACUCGCAGGAGAAGCACCGGCUAACUCCGUGACAGCAGCCGCGGUGAUAC